AUUGAACGCUGGCGGCAUGCUUUACACAUGCAAGUCGAACGGUAACAGGCCGCAAGGUGCUGACGAGUGGCGAACGGGUGAGUAAUGCAUCGGAACGUGCCCAGUCGUGGGGGAUAACUGCUCGAAAGAGCAGCUAAUACCGCAUACGAUCUAUGAAUGAAAGCGGGGGACCGUAAGGCCUCGCGCGAUUGGAGCGGCCGAUGGCAGAUUAGGUAGUUGGUGGGGUAAAGGCUCACCAUGCCAACGAUCUGUAGCUGGUCUGAGAGGACGGCCAGCCACACUGGGACUGAGACACGGCCCAGACUCCUACGGGAGGCAGCAGUGGGGAAUUUUGGACAAUGGGGGCAACCCUGAUCCAGCAAUGCCGCGUGCAGGAAGAAGGCCUUCGGGUUGUAAACUGCUUUUGUACGGAACGAAACGGUCUGGAUUAAUACCCUGGGCUAAUGACGGUACCGUAAGAAUAAGCACCGGCUAACUACGUGCCAGCAGCCGCCGCAGUAA
rnacentral:rRNA from 1 species